CGGGGAAGUCACUUUUGUUCACCUUAACCCUGAUUUGCGAGGUUGUUGUGAGUACAAAAUUAUACACUGCCUUGAGAUCCUUAGAGAAAAUAUAAGGUGCUGGUGCAAUAAAUAGGAUGCAGAAGAUACUGAGAAGCCAGCAAGAUUGCCACAUGCGGGUUCACCCUUCCUCCCACUUCCACUGUUUCACAAUGCAACAGAGAUUUCAAUAGACUGAGUCGUGUGCUUUUUUGAAUACAGGUACUGUUAAAAUGUACCCCUGAAUUAUAAAAAAGAAAGCCCACUCUGAGGAAGGAAGCCUUGGAGAAAGGAUGCUUUAAAAUUAGGUUGCUGAGGCUGGACAUCUGAGGAUGUUGACGCUGAGAGAGGCUGGAGGGAGAAAAGUAGGAACCAAACAAACCUUGGCAGGUACUCCUUGACUUUGGAACCAACUUUCCGAGGCUAUCCUGGCCCCUUCAUUGGUGACUUUCAAGAAGCUUUUAUAAACCUAGCUGUUCUGACAGGUGUUUUACUUUAAUCCAUCAAUGGACUUGAGUGAAAUUAUUAGCCAUUAAGAUUACAAUAUCACCAUUUUAAAUGUUAAAUGCUGCUUUAAUCAAUCAAUGGACUUUAGUGAAAUUAUUAGCCAUUAAGAUCACAAUAUCAACAACAACAACAAUCUUUUUUUGCAGUCUCUGACCCAUUAAAAUACAUUUUAUGUAUUCUAUUAUGUUUUGUUAUUUUAGUAUCAAUAUUUUAUAUUUAAUAUACCCCUUAUUAUGUAAGGUUUAAUUAUGUUUGCUUAUUGUUUAAUGUUGUGAACCACCCAGAAUGACCCUUUUUUUAAAAAAAAAAGGUGCUGCAGCAAGAUUUCAGCACCCUUGUUUCCCUACCCUCCCCCCACAUUCUUCUGCAAAUCAACCAUGGUUGGGUGUGACAUCUGAAUACUGUUCUUGAAUGUAAAGAAUUGAAUACACAGAUUUAAAGGUCAAAGGAAUUUAAGCAUAUCUUCAAAGCAGAAAAACAUUAUUAACCAA
rnacentral:lncRNA from 1 species